CCUACGGGAGGCAGCAGUGGGGAAUUUUGCGCAAUGGGCGAAAGCCUGACGCAGCAACGCCGCGUGUGUGAUGAAGGUCUUCGGAUUGUAAAGCACUUUCGGCCGGGACGAAAACCCUGAGGCUAACAUCCUCAGGCUUGACGGUACCGGAAGAAGAAGCACCGGCUAACUCUGUGCCAGCAGCCGCGGUAAUACAGAGGGUGCAAGCGUUGUUCGGAAUUAUUGGGCGUAAAGCGCGUGUAGGCGGCUUUGCAAGUCGGGUGUGAAAGCCCUCGGCUCAACCGAGGAAGUGCGCCCGAAACUGCAGAGCUUGAGUACCGGAGAGGAUGGCGGAAUUCCCCAAGUAGAGGUGAAAUUCGUAGAUAUGGGGAGGAACACCGGUGGCGAAGGCGGCCAUCUGGACGGAUACUGACGCUGAGACGCGAAAGCGUGGGUAGCAA
rnacentral:rRNA from 1 species